CCUGCCCCUAGAGACAUUGCAGGUGUGGCUGCUGUGUCACCUGUGCAUCAGGAGGUGAAAGAGAGGAGAGAGGCUGUGUCUGUCCUCAGUGUUCUGACUGUCAACACCUAAAUGAUUAGUAGCCUAAAACU